ACCCGCUGAACUUAAGCAUAUCAAUAAGCGGAGGAAAAGAAACCAACAGGGAUUGCCUCAGUAACGGCGAGUGAAGCGGCAACAGCUCAAAUUUGAAAUCUGGCCCCUUCGGGGUCCGAGUUGUAAUUUGCAGAGGGUGCUUCGGUGGAAGUCCCGGCCCAAGUCCCUUGGAACAGGACGUCAGAGAGGGUGAGAACCCCGUGUCCAGCCGGCGACGCUCCCCGCGUGAAGCCCCUUCGACGAGUCGAGUUGUUUGGGAAUGCAGCUCUAAAUUGGUGGUAAAUUCCAUCUAAAGCUAAAUACCGGCCAGAGACCGAUAGCGCACAAGUAGAGUGAUCGAAAGAUGAAAAGCACUUUGAAAAGAGAGUCAAAAAGUACGUGAAAUUGUUGAAAGGGAAGCGCUUGCGGCCAGACUCGCCCGCGGAUGUUCAGCCUGCCUUCUGGCGGGUGCACUCUUCCGCGGUCGGGCCAGCAUCGGUUUGGGCGGCCGGACAAAGGCCCGGGGAACGUGGCCCCCUUCGGGGGGUGUUAUAGCCCCGGGUGCAAUGCGGCCAGCCCGGACCGAGGAUCGCGCUCUGCUAGGAUGCUGGCGUAAUGGCCGUAAGCGGCCCGUCUUGAAACACGG
rnacentral:rRNA from 1 species